rnacentral:rRNA from 1 species
AUUGAACGCUGGCGGCAGGCCUAACACAUGAAAGUCGAACGAGUGGCGGAAGGGUGAGGAAUGUCUGGGAAAAGGCCCGAUGGAGGGGGAUAACUACUGGAAACGGUAGCUAAUAACGAAUACAAUCGGAAGGGCCCAGAUGGGAUUAGCUAGUAGGUGGGGUAAUGGCUCACCUAGGAGACGAUCCCUAGCUGGUCUGAGAGGAUGACCAGCCACACGGGAACUGAGACACGGUCCAGACUCCUACGGGAGGCAGCAGUGGGGAAUAUUGCACAAUGGGCGCAAGCCUGAUGCAGCCAUGCCGCGUGUAUGAAGAAGGCCUUCGGGUUGUAAAGUACUUUCAGCGAGGAGGCGUUACUCGCAGAAGAAGCACCGGCUAACUCCGUGCCAGCCGCCGCGGUAAUAC